rnacentral:lncRNA from 1 species
AUGUUAAUGAACAUCAGGUGGAAAAAAACGUGGGCAUUCAAAUUAAGGACUGGAGUAAUAGUUAGAAAAGAAUGGGCCCUCGUUACCAAGCACAAAAACGUACCUUCAGGAGAAAGGCUCCCUGGCAUAGCAGGUGGGAUGGGAUAUCUGGGAGCAUGUUUAAGGACUGAGUACCAUUUCCAGGCAAAGGAAGUACUCUGUGCAAGCAAGAGCUGCAAAGUCAUUCCCUAAAUGAGACAGCGAGGAGGGGAAAAAAAAAAAGAAUCAAGGACUGAGUGCCAGAGUGAGAACAGACAGCAGAGGAGGAAUAAUGGGUGAGAGAAAGCUAAAGAGAAGACUCUGAAGGAUGAUAGCUCUUCUGGAUGAAAAGGCUGACUUGAAAUAAUUCAGGCUGUUCCUGCUCUGUGGUGCUCCUGGGGAAGCACCUGGCUUAAGGCAAUUUAUCCAGCUGUCAGCUUGUUUUCACACAGACAAUAAAUGCAUCCUGGGAUUGUGACUUCA